UCUCGGCCACAGUCAAAAGAAUAAACAAGCGGAAUAAAAAUUUAUCAUAAAUAGCAAGCUGAGCAGAAUAAAAGCAAAAAGUAAGAAAUUCAUCGAAACCAGUAUCAAAACUCGGUUCAAAAGCUGUGAUUCCUAAAAAUGUGUUUCACAAUCGACCAAAUUGAGCGGGCGUGUGGAUUAUUGAUGCUGACCGAGUUCAAUACAUUCGUUUACUGCUGCAAAAGUUGUCAGUGUGAAUUUGAGUCUGGAUCCAAUUUAGAAGUGCACAUUUUGUCGGAGCAUCAAGACGAUAAAGGAGCUAUCUUUGUGAACGGUGACGUUUGGGCGGAUAAUUGUAGCAUUGAGCCAACGCCGAUCGACUAUGUAGCAACAAAUGCAAAACUUGGGCAAUUUGGACUAGACGCUGAACAGUCAAUUGAACGGAAUGUGGUUGAAUCGUAUGUAGAUUAUGCCAAACCGCUUCCAAUUUUGCUGGUGAAUGAGAAUUUCGACGAUGACAUCAAUGGCAUUGAGACAAAUAUAGCCAAAGACGAACCGACACUAGAGGAACCACCGCGAAAAACAGUGAAUUCGGAAGAAAAUGUUUGGCAUGAUUCAUUGGGAAUUGGAACCAAAGAAGCAAACGAAUCAAUUCAUCACGAGCAAUCACGAGUAGAAGUGGCUUCGGAAUGGAAGAAUGUUUCGGUGGAAAAUGAAUUAAUCGAAAUUGUUGGCCACGGUUUAUUGCAAAGAGCAGACGAAGUAUCAAUUGUACGAAAACGACCAAGAGCUCAUCCAGCCGGAACGAAAAAUAAGCAAACCAUCAUCAAUGAAGCGAUCAAAGCAAUGACUCCGAAAUGGUCAUUUGAAGGACCGCGUGGACCAAUGAAUUCCAACACGUUAGAAAUUAGUAAUGAAAGAUUUUAUUGUGAUAUGUGCCCUGACUUAUCAUUCAAACACAAAUCGAGUAUGUUGAAACACAUGACUCGCCGUCAUAUACGUAAAGAUAUUGCAGAAAAGUUGAAGCAAUGUGAAAUCUGUCACAAAUUUCCACGAAUCAGCUAUGAGCAUCACAUGAAAAUGAAGCACUCGGAACUUCGAUUCAAAUGCGACUUUUGCGAUGCAGUUUUUAGACACAACACAUCUCGAGUCAUUCAUAUGCGAAAACAUACCGGCGAAAAGCCGUUUAUCUGCUCCAUCUGCGGCAAAGCAUUCGCUUCAAAUUCGAGACGUUUCUUCCAUGAAAAAUCCAUGCAUAGGACGACGAAUAAGGAAACCAACAUCAAUGAUGCGAUCAAAGCAAUAACUCCAAAAAGGCCAGUUGGACGUCCACGUGGACCCAACAAGUUAGAAAAUAGUAGCGAGCGGUUUUAUUGUGAUAUGUGCCCUGACUUAUCAUUCAAACAAAAACAGAGUUUAUUGAGACACAUGACUCGCCGUCAUAUCCGCAAAGAUAUUGCGGAAAAGAUGAAGAAAUGUGAAAUCUGCAACAAAUAUCCGCGAAUUAGCUAUGAGCAUCACAAGAAAAUGAAGCACUCGGAACUUCGAUUCAAAUGCGAUAUUUGCAAUGCUGAGUUCAAGCACAAAAUGACACAAAAAAUUCAUAUGCGAAAACAUUCUGGAGAGAAGCCGUUUAUGUGCAGUCACUGCGGGAAAGGUUUCUCUUCAAAGUCAAGUUGUUACUCGCACGAAACCGCCGUACACAGUAUAGUGAAAAAACACAAAUGCACCUACUGUGAUCGAUCCUUUCCAUAUCCGAAUGUUCUUCAAAAUCAUAUAAAUGCAGCCCAUACAAAGGAACGACCGUAUGUGUGUGACAUUUGUAACAAGGAUUUUGUUUCAAGCGGUGCAUUAGGCAUCCAUAAAGCAUCGCAUGAAGAACCAAAAAAGAAGUGUCGAUAUUGUGACAAGAUGUUCACUGUGAACGCAAGUCGAUGGCGACACGAAAUGGUCUAUCAUAAGAAAGUCGUUAUGGUCGAUGGUAAAAUAAUGAAUAUGUACAAAAAAAGCCAUCGAAUGAAGAUGGAAAUGCUGACGAAGAAAGAUUAGUGAUAAUUUAAUUUAAUUAAUUUUAGGCAUUGAAGUGAUUUUCCUAGAGUUAAUGAAUUAAUGGAGUUCGGAAAAAUUUGGAUCAAGUAUUCAAUUUAAUCAUUCAUUUGGAAAAAAAUUUAGAAAAUACUUUGAAAAGGAAAUGUGAAAAAAUGCGCAUUUUUUUACAAAUAAAUAAUGAAUUUAAAUAAAUUCCAUUGCAUUUAGUUUUGUCCAUAAAUCCCUAGUAUCAAUUUGUUUAUAUUCAUCUUCCCCUGUUUUGACAGCUGAACAGUUGUAUUCAUAUUCCCUUUGUCUCUUGGAAUAUCACUUUGUUCGAUUUCGAAUGCGUCGCUCCUUUCGUAAUUCCAGUUUCCACCGAAACAUUCAAUGGUUUUGACAUUUGAUUGUCGCUACUAGUAGAAUAUCAACCGAUUGACACGAGAUAAUACACAUCGCACAGGAAAAUAAUUACAAAAACUUAAAAAAAACUAAUAAAGAAUAUAAAAAGAGUAAAAAAAGUGUGCAAAAUACAUGAAUUCUAUCCAACACAUGUGUUUAACAACCAAAUGAAUUUUGUGAGCGUGUAGUUAUUGUUGCUGAACACAUUUUUCUACUGCUGCUAUACAUUUGAGUCGGAGUCGUACACGAUAGAGGAGCUGCCAGAAACCAAUCCGUACUUUGUAGCAUAGAAGGCUGAAUAAAUUGAAAAUUGAUUUUCAUAACAGGUUGUCAAAAUGAGCGUAGAAAGUGCAUCAGCUGACGUCAUCCCAAAUGAUCAACCACAAGCGGAGAUUUUCAAGUUGAAAAUCGAUCAUUUUGAAGAGCUAUUCGACUGGUUGUAUCUUAAAGAUCUAGUGGCACUGAGUAAAACGUGCAAACGAAUGCAACGCAUCGUCGGCUACUACAUUAAAACGACCUAUGCUGCAAUUAAAUUCAACUGUACAAGUGAUGGUAUCGAAAGAGGAUAUCAAGGAUUCAAAUUGACUGGAUUGAGUUCAUUUCUGAAAAAACUUACGUUUCAUAACCUCGAGUAUGUUCCAAUCAUGGAAGCCGAUCAAUUCAAAUCGCUCACCGAAAUCCUGUUACCCACCGAUGUACUCACUGAUGCAGGAAUAUCACGUAUAAAAGGGAUUUUGGGUCAACUGGAAACGGUGAAAUUGUGCUUUCCGCUUUCUCUGGAUGACAACAAAGAUAUUUAUGGUGAUUUUCUGAAAUACUGCACCAACGUAAAGGAGUUGUGCAUUCAGGGAUCGAGUAAUAGUUGCCUUGUUGGCGCUGACAAUAGUUGGCUUCUGCGAGAAUAUCCAACACUCGAACACUUUGAGUUGACAAUGGAUAAAGACGAAACUGGGCCCAUCGACGAAUUGAGUACAUUCUUUGAACGAAACACCCACAUCAAACGUUUUGCGACGAAUGUAGAAAUGAUUUUGGCGAACAGCGACACAUUUAAAACAAUUCCAGCUAAAUGGGAUGUUUUAAUCGUUCGAUUCUGUAAUACAAACACAUUUAAUCCAUCCCGAGAUCUUUUGAAUGAACUCUACGAACGAGGCAGGUUCAACGAAGUACAUGUGUAUUUUCGUACGCUCUUCCCUUAUACAUAUUUUGAUCAAGCAUCAGUGAAUGAGUUGACUUCAUUCAAAGGUCUUACAAAGUUAUACGUUCAAGGCAUUGAAAACGAUACCGAUUUAUCUCGAUUGAUUACCCUGAAGCAGUUUUACAUUCACAGAGCUUAUAAAAUUGCGAAUACGAAAACGCUGGCCACGAAGCUUUUCAAUCUUGAAUUCAUUCAUUUUUGCUAUGCGUCAGAUGUCAGGGACAUUGUGCCAUUCAUUUGCCACUCGCCCAAAUUGACAAAGAUUGUUGUGUUUCGCCUUGAGGAAGACCCGGAUGAACUUAUUCUCAACCUUGUACAACUGAACAAGGAACGAUCGAAAUUGCCAAACGCAAGAAAAGUUACCAUUUAUGUUGAGGAACAUGUUUAUUUGGCCGUGAAAUGGACCAUAAAUCAAACGAGCUUGAUUGAGAUAAAACGCGGCUCAUCAUAUGAUACAUUGAACCAUAGUUUCGAUUACAUGGACAAUCCCGACAAUACAUUUUGAAGGACAACUACUUUGAUAUCAUUUCAGAUGGAGUUACUAUGAGUUGUUUAUCAAUAUAAAAUAAACAUUCAGUUCCUUGCAAAGAGCACGCGAAGCACCAAAACUCUGCAUAAGCGACCGCGGGGAAGAUUAAGUAUUCCAUUUAAGAAGCAAAAUAUUUUAAACAGAAAAAACCAAUAAAAAUGUGCACUUCUAUCUAGAAUAUAAUGAAUUUGAAUAAAUUCCAAUGUAUUUGCCCAUAAAUCACUAA